rnacentral:rRNA from 1 species
UACGAAGGGGGCUAGCGUUGUUCGGAAUUACUGGGCGUAAAGCGCGCGCAGGUGGCUAUCCAAGUCAGUGGUGAAAGCCCGGAGCUCAACUCCGGAACUGCCAUUGAAACUGUUUAGCUUGAGGACGAGAGAGGUGAGUGGAAUUCCCAGUGUAGAGGUGAAAUGCGCAGAUAUCGGGAAGAACACCUAUGGCGAAGGCAGCUCUCUGGGACGGUACUGACGCUGAGACGCGAAAGCGUGGGGAGCGAACAGG